rnacentral:rRNA from 1 species
CAGCCGUAAACUAUGCGCGUUAGGUGUAUCGGUGACCACGAGUCACCGAGGUGCCGAAGGGAAACCGUGAAACGUGCCGCCUGGGAAGUACGGUCGCAAAGGCUGAAACUUAAAAGGAAUUGGCGGGGGAGCACCACAACGGGUGGAGCCUGCGGUUUAAAUUGGACUCAACGCCGGGAAGCUCACCGGAUAAGACAGCGGAAUGAUUGCCGGGCUGAAGACUCUGCAUGACUAGCUGAGAGGUGGUGCAUGGCGUAGACGUCU